UUCAGGGGCGGACGGGUAGUCAAAGUAAGCACUGCCUCCAGAAGGGGGAAACAACCGGAACGGUCCUAAACCCAUAUGCUUUCGAGUCGAAGGAUCCCUCCGCCAGAGAGAUGCCCGCGGCUGAUUAGCUUGUUGGUAAGGUAACGGCUUACCAAGGCGACGAUCAGUAUCUGGUUUGAGAGGAUGAUCAGACACACUGGAACUGAGACACGGUCCAGACUCCUACGGGAGGCAGCAGUGGGGAAUUUUCCGCAAUGGGCGAAAGCCUGACGGAGCAACCUCGCGUGAGGGAUGACGGCCUAUGGGUUGUAAACCUCUUUUUUCAGGGAGGAAUCAAUGACGUGUACCUGAAGAAUAAGCAUCGGCUAACUCCGUGCCAGCAGCCGCGGUAAGACGGAGGAUGCAAGUGUUAUCCGGAAUCACUGGGCGUAAAGCGUCUGUAGGUGGUUUUAAUAAGUCAACUUGUUAAAUCUCGAAGCUCAACUUUCGAAAUCGCAGUCGAAACUAUUAGACUAGAGUAUAGUAGGGGUAAAGGGAAUUUUCCAGUGGAGCGGUGAAAUGCGUAGAGAUUGGAAAGAACACCGAUGGCGAAGGCACUUUACUGGGCUAUUACUAACACUGAGAGACGAAAGCUAGGGUAGCAAAUGGGAUUAGAUACCCCAGUAGUCCUAGCCGUAAACAAUG
rnacentral:rRNA from 1 species